rnacentral:tRNA from 1 species
GGAACGGUGGCAGAGCCUGGCUGAUUGCGUCGCCUUGCUAAGGCGAAGGCCCUCACGGGUCCGGGGGUUCAAAUCCCUCCCGUUCCU